rnacentral:rRNA from 1 species
UACGUAGGUGGCGAGCGUUGUCCGGAUUUAUUGGGCGUAAAGCGCGCGCAGGCGGUGCGGUAAGUCUGUCGUGAAAUCUCCCGGCUCAACUGGGAGGGUGCGGUGGAGACUGCCGGACUGGAGGCACUCAGAGGCCGGUGGAAUUCCCGGUGUAGUGGUGAAAUGCGUAGAGAUCGGGAGGAACACCAGUGGCGAAGGCGGCCGGCUGGGGGUGACCUGACGCUGAGACGCGAAGGCGUGGGGAGCGAACGGG